UACGUAGGAGGCAAGCGUUGUCCGGAAUUACUGGGUGUAAAGCGCGUGUAGGCGGCAGGCCAAGUCUGUGGUGAAAUCGCUCGGCUCAACUGGGCGGGGUCCAUGGAAACUGGUCAGCUGGAGGACGGUAGAGGUGAGUGGAAUUCCCGGUGUAGUGGUGAAAUGCGUAGAGAUCGGGAGGAACACCCGUGGCGAAGGCGGUUCUCUGGGACGGUACUGACGCUGAGACGCGAAAGCGUGGGGAGCGAACAGG
rnacentral:rRNA from 1 species